AUGCUCAGAAAUGCGUCCAACCAUGUGC
rnacentral:sRNA from 1 species